rnacentral:rRNA from 1 species
UACGGGGGGGGGCAAGCGUUGUUCGGAAUUACUGGGCGUAAAGGGCUCGUAGGCGGCCAACUAAGUCAGACGUGAAAUCCCUCGGCUUAACCGGGGAACUGCAUCUGAUACUGGAUGGCUUGAGAUUGGGAGAGGGAUGCGGAACUCCAGGUGUAGCGGUGAAAUGCGUAGAUACCUGGAGGAACACCGGGUGGCGAAGGCGGCAUCCUGGACCAACACUGACGCUGAGGAGCGAAAGCCAGGGGAGCAAACGGG